CAUGCUAAGUUAUUAUGUCUUUGAGUUGCAAGUCAAAAAGUUAGUAGUCAAGAUGGACCUUGAUCAAUUAUGAAUAAUAGACAUUCUAUGAAAAAUUUGUGUUUACACUUGGUAUGCAAGUUCUAAAGUUGAAAGAGUUAUCAAGAUCUCUAUCCUGUUUUCUCUCAGAGGAUUUGUGUCGCUUUCGAAUCUCGAGGACGAGAUUCAUUUUAAGGGGGUAGAUUUGUAACACCCUAAAAAUUGUUUCCUUGGAAAUAGAGCUAAAAUGAUUUAAUUUGGUAUUUUUUUGUGCUCAUGAAAAUAUAGGAAAAUAAUAAUUUUCAUUAAAUUAAAAUCUAUUCUAAGGACUUAGCAACUUAUUUGUGCAUUCAUGCUGGAGAAUUCAUUUUAUUGUGCUGAGUGAUUUGACCAAAGUACAACAAUAUUUCAAAUAGAUUUUAAAUGGAUUUGAAAAUUGCUUGAAAGAAAAGAAUUUAAAGAAAAGAAAAAAAGAAAUAGAAAUCUCUCCCUCUCUCUAUUUUGGCCAGAAGGCCCCAAAACCCUCUUUCUCCCCUUUUGGCCCAGAACCAGCAGGGAGCCCACGCCAUGUGUUUCCCCCUCCCCCUCUUUGUUUCGGCCUGAGUGGCCAUCUCUCUCUCCCUCGGGCCCAAGUUCCCCCUCUCCCUGCAUUUGGCCCAGC
rnacentral:lncRNA from 1 species